CCAGACUCCUACGGGAGGCAGCAGUGGGGAAUAUUGCUCAAUGGGGGAAACCCUGAAGCAGCAACGCCGCGUGGAGGAUGAAGGUUUUCGGAUUGUAAACUCCUUUUGUUAGAGAAGAUAAUGACGGUAUCUAACGAAUAAGCACCGGCUAACUCCGUGCCAGCAGCCGCGGUAAUACGGAGGGUGCAAGCGUUAUCCGGAUUUACUGGGUGUAAAGGGAGCGUAGACGGCGCUGCAAGUCCGGAGUGAAAGCCCAUGGCUUAACCAUGGUACUGCUCUGGAAACUGGCAAACUGGAGUGUGUGAGAGGAUAGUGGAAUUCCAGGUGUAGGAGUGAAAUCCGUAGAUAUCUGGAGGAACAUCAGUGGCGAAGGCGACUAUCUGGCACAUAACUGACGCUGAGGAGCGAAAGCGUGUGUAGCAAACAGGAUUAGAUACCCUUGUA
rnacentral:rRNA from 1 species